CUGCUUUUCACAAUAUAAGGGUUUAUAAAAAAUUAUUAAUUUGAUAGAUAGCGUAGUUGUAUGGGAUAUACAAGUAAGUAUCUGACUGGGGGCUGUGAGAGACUUCUUAGUAUUCUUUUUUUUUUUCAUUCCAGGCUUUUCAUAGGAGAGCAUGAGGUGAUUAUGUUUGGGAACACCUCUCCUGUAUCAUAAGUAGGGGUUCUUAGGUCAUAAGAUUACCAACAAAAGGUCUGGUGCACUACAGGGAUGACGCGAUGAAAGACUGAAGUACUGAGCAGAUUCGAACAUAACCAGCAGUGCUAUAACAAGGGAACAAGUUGCACAAAAACUCGAAGACUGAAACAUGUGAACACAAACAAAAUUUCCUUGGAGACUAGCUAUGUGAACAUCUGAAGUACUGAGAUUCCUGUGAUGUAUAAUUGUCCCAUGGUCUAAAUGAGGGGGGCAAUUACGUGGCUUUUUAGUAGGACCAUUCUUGGCAUGCGCAAAGGUCACAAGCUGUCACUUUCUAGCUAUGUGGUGAUAAAUUUCCCCCAUUUUCUGAAAUUCCUCUGCCAAACAGUUAUUGUUGGCUUUUUUCUUUAUACAGCUGUAUGACACAAAGCAGAGACAAAGACUUGUCCGUCAACACACUGUAUGCUGACACUGCUCAGCGAAGGAAAGAAUUUCUCAACUCACAAAUGUUUUUCCCUUUUUGGCAGCUUAUUGACUGAAGCACCACACUGGAGCAUGGCCUAAGGGGGUAAAAAUACAGAAAUGUAAAUAUAGGUCCUUUCAUUACAAGUCACUGUGGUCCCACUCCAACUGUCCCGGUGAGAUUAUGAUAAUGCUUUAGAGAUAAGAGCAAUAAAAAUCGUUCCCAAUAUGUAAACAGCUAAGUGAGUGCACAGGAUUCCAGCAUUCUCCAAUAACAAUGUUUUGGUCUCCAUGCCAAGUGCAACACAGAACGAGACGCUUGUUAUGCAGGCACUGAAGAGAACAGGAAGGGAGAAACAGGGUGGGAAAGAGAAAAGAGGGGGCAUCUAACCAAGGAGGCAAUAGUACUGAAUCAGUCCUUGUUUUCUGUGUAUUAAUUACAUUUUCUGGGGCUGGAAAUGUGGCUGAGCCACAUACUGGGAUUAAAAGGGAACUCUGGUUUGCUGGAAAAGCUAGAUGAUAUUUGUUGAAUGGAAAUUCAACUAAUUAAAACUUUAAAGAACCCAAUUUGAUUAGGGGCAUGUAGAAAUUUAAAUAUUCAGUUAUUAGAACUGUACAUAUCUCACAUUCCCCCUUAUUAUCCAGGUAUAUCUCUUUUGCAGGGAGUGUCAGGGACAGUUGGUUCCCUUUAUGCACACAGCAGAAGAUGGCAAUCAGUGUGCGAGGUUCAGCAGCUUUCACACUUCAGUUAACCCCUGACCUUCAAAGGCUAUGUUCACAUGAGUGGCGGUAAAAACAAGUGGUCGAUCUACGUUUUUACUGCCCACCCACAAGCAGACAUGGAGGCCACCAGAGUCUAUUUACAUUGCCGUAGCCAAGAUGCUUGUGGUGCAGCAUUUUAAAAUCAUUUUGACAGGCGGCAACCACAUGCCAUAUAAGGCUAUGGCAGUUGUGGUGUGGUAAUCUAAU